UGUACAUUCAAGCUGCGUGCGGUCCUCAACUUCUCUUGUCUUUUAACUCCUUUUUAAAGUUUUGUGUAAAACACAACUUUACUAAAGCCGAUUUAUUAUCCGAAUAUCUGUCACAUGCAACUCAUUCGAAAACGGUUAUAUCGGUUAUAAAUACAAAAUGCCGAAUCUAUGCAAACGUCUGAACGAUUUUGCAAUAAUAAGAAUCCUUCAUGUAGGGUACAAUAUUAGAAAGCUAUGGUACAAAAUUUCCAUAACGAUGAGUAGUUUAACAGGUUUAACCAAGGGUUUCAACCAUAUAACAAAGAAGGCAGGAUUCACCGUAAGCAGAAGCAAAAAGAAGCUUUAGACACCACAGAUGAUUGCAAUCGACGAUUCAGGGUGUGAUGAUCCAACGCCGAGUUAUGAGGGGUAUCGUAAUUCAACUUUUCCGCAACGCUCCAGAGUUAUUGCUGCCAUUGCCGUAUUUUUUAAUAUGAAAAUUUAACAGAAUAUUGUUCAAAUGUCACUAUAAUGUACCAUUGGUUUUUAAAAAUAAAUUGAAAUUAUUUCAUAAAAAAGUGCCUACUUCCCCCUUAAAAACACAGGGCACAGAAGAGCAGAGGAGGAAUGCAAGUUUUCGGUAACGAAGGUGGUGGUGGUGGGUGCAUCAUGCCCGCUUUAGGGGAUACUGGCCACCAUAUAUUUGUUACUUUACACCAGUUUUCUAAAAAAAAUAAAUAAUAUAUCCAGACCUCCCCAUGCAUAGGGAGCCCCCUUAAAUAAACUCAACCCAAAAUCAUGCCACUCACUGCAUGGUAAAGGGAUUCACAGACCACAGAUUAAAUUGCUAAAUUGCGUGACA